UCCUUGGUUUGAGCCACUUUCUUAGAUCGGGCCUUGAACCUCUGCUUCACUUUCCCAAAUGAAUCUCCAUUGGAAACUAUCUCCUCACCCGAGUCUUCGUUGCUAGACAUUUUCUUGNNNGUCUUCUUCUUCCUCGCUAUUGAAAGAGGCGCGCAAGAGACGUAAAGUGGGGAAAGGAUGGGCUUGCAGAGGACACAGAUCUCUGUCAGAAAUAAAG
rnacentral:misc_RNA from 1 species